rnacentral:rRNA from 1 species
UACGUAGGGUGCAAGCGUUAAUCGGAAUUACUGGGCGUAAAGCGUGCGCAGGCGGUUAUGUAAGACAGGUGUGAAAUCCCAGGGCUUAACCUUGGAACUGCAUUUGUGACUGCAUAGCUAGAGUACGGUAGAGGGGGAGUGGAAUUCCGCGUGUAGCAGUGAAAUGCGUAGAUAUGCGGAGGAACACCGAUGGCGAAGGCAAUCCCCUGGACCUGUACUGACGCUCAUGCACGAAAGCGUGGGGAGCAAACAGG